CACGCCUUAAACGAUGUAUGCUUGGUGUUGGGUGAGUGAUCACUCAGUGCCGAAGGCAACCUGAUAAGCAUACCACCUGGGGAGUACGAUCGCAAGGUUGAAACUCAAAGGAAUUGACGGGGGCCCGCACAAGCGGUGGAUCAUGUGGUUUAAUUCGAUGCAACGCGAAGAACCUUACCCGGGCUUGAAGAGCAGGUAGUAAAGAGAUGAAAGUCGAAUGACCCGUUAAGUCGGAUGCCUGUAGAGGUGC
rnacentral:rRNA from 1 species